CCUAAUUUUGCUCUUUGGAGAGGAUCUCUUAGAUGCUUAGGCUCCUUUUCAUCUUUUCUAGGGUUUGCUUUUCCAUCUUUCUUCCAUUUUUCAUCUAGUUCACCAUGUCUAUGGUGAACUAAACCCUAUUGUUGUUNGGGGAAACAAUGUAAUNUUUUGAUACUCUCUUUUAUUGAAACUCUUGAUUAUUUAUAUGGUCUCCAUAUGUUUUNAUUUAUAAUUGUUNGGUUAUCAUNUGUGCUUAAGGCCUUUAUCGUUUAACUCAUUCGGUAACUGAUGUUUGUCUUUAUUGAUAUGGGGACGUACAGUAAUGACAUGAAUUGGUGAGUAAUCUCUUGAUUUUGCAAUACCACCUAGGGAUAGGGGUANGACNAUCAAUUGCNCUAACUUCUGUUUAUAAUGCNGUAUUAAUUACUAGGGGAGGCUAGGGAUAGCAAGCCAGUAGUUAAUAUUAGGCCCUUUUCGUCGAGGGAUCGGGUUAAGGGGAGGCUAAGAAAGUCGCAUAACAAUUAAUUAAUCAAACUAAUAUUCAAGAGGAGUAGAUAAGAGAGGGAGGAUUAGAUGAAAUUGUCAACC
rnacentral:lncRNA from 1 species